CUGGGAACCUGUAAGAGCCAAGCCAGACAAGUCAAGCUGAAGUAGAGAAGCUUUAAUAGUAAAAUAAAAUGAAGAAAUUUGAAGAAACAGUUAAGCUAAAAGUUAUACAUUUAAGUAAACCUAAUUGCAUUGAUCUCCAACAUACUGACAUUACCGUUAGAAGUUGUGAAUUGUGAUACAUGACCUCAGGUAAAGGUAUGUUCCCAGGUGUUGGGUUUUUCUAUUUUCUAAAUUUCACCAGACUUCCUACUAAUUUGAAGUCAAACAAUAAAAGUUUCAUACCCAUGUCCAAGUAUCUUCAUACAAUAGUGGUACAUUAGCGUAAAAUGAAGAAUUGAAG
rnacentral:misc_RNA from 1 species